AAGAGUGUAGUAUAAUAGGAUAGUAUAGUGAUCUCCAAAAUCACUUGUAGGUGUUCGAGUCACCUCGCUCUUG
rnacentral:tRNA from 1 species